ACAGCACCUACAUGGCUACACCGUUCAAUCAGACUGUGAGUAAUUUGUAUAAACAAAAACUAGUUACAUACUUACCCUCCUAUAAAGUCGCAGUGCGUUGAAAUAAUACUGCCUGCUUGGGUAAAUCAACCAUGUCUAUUCUGGCAAAAGCCAAACAUCAAUUAGUGAUGGUUUUAGUGAAAUAAUAGGAAAAAUAAGAAGAUUACCAAUAUUGUUUUUGUUGUUAACACUAUAAACAACAGCAGACGACAUCUACAAAACGUUAAAUUAAAAUUACUUCAAAAACACUUACGGAAAAAAAUUUGUAUUUUAAAUUUAACCUGAAAAAUCUAGUUUAUAACCUUAUGUCUAGUUAUUUUCUAUCACUAACCACUUUAGAAAUAAUUCCACUAUAAACAAUAAUCCCAUAAGAGGCUGUGUUAAAAAAGGGUGUGGUUUUCCAAAGAUGGCGGAUAGAAACGUUGCCGGAAUACAGCAAUCCUGCUAUCUGCAUUCUGCAAGAAGUCUAUUGUUGACAUUUUUUCGCUUAACCCUACCGGGAACUGCGCGAACACCGAGAGCCCUUGAGUAAUAAACACCCGCUGGUUUUGGGAUAGGCGAUAGUGUACCUUAUUAUAUCGUGCUACAACGUUUCGCAAUAAAAGUAACUAAACUUAAAAAAUAAACUUAAGCCAAAUUUUUCUUAUUUUUUAAAUGUCGGUAGAAGGCUGUUUGAAAGUUUUUUUUUACUCACUAGAUGGCUUAAGCUAAUUUCAAGUGAGAAAUUCAAUCUGGCAAUGUUCUGGUCUUCCAGAAGUUUACCAUUUUAAGGCUUGCCAGUUGCAAGCAUGGAUCGGGAAUUUUGCACCGCAAUCCGUUUUAUCUUAGAUAAAAUUCGUAAUCUGGAAUUUUCCUUCAUUUUCUGCAUGAUGGGCAUAUUCAAUAUCUAGUCUCAUCUGGCCAUCAAAGAUCUGUGAUUUGUUGUGAAUGAGUUGGAUGAAAUAGAUAUGGCAGUUAUGCAAGCAUUACUACUCAUUUCUACUCAUUUCAUUGAAUAAUGAAUGUUGGCUGUGAGAUGCCCAUUGAGCUUUCUCUAUUAUUAUUUGAGAGCUGAAUGGUGCUUAGCCCCAAAUCCCGGAGUGAGAAGAAAGCAGAAAAAGAAGAAGAAGCUGACAGAGGGACAGAAGAGGCGGCGCAACCGUUAUAACUACGAGAAGGAACGAAGGAAACGAGAGGCUGCAGCAGCUGCGGCGUUAACUGCGACCAUCCCUGACGCCCCCGAAAGGUCGGUGGUGUUUACGUCCACCGAUCUUCCACUUCGACCCAUCGCUACUGUCGGCCCGUCCGUCAACCUGCCAACUUUACCUGCCGGUCCAUCCACCGCACCUGAUCCACCUCAGCCUGCCAAGAAAAACAGGAAUCCGAACAGUCAAAAGGUAUCCUGCAGCAACUGCCAUUCAGCUAAUCAUUUCCCUAGUGAGGAGGACAGAGCCCGUAAGUUUAUCCAAAGGAGAAGAGAAAGGGAGCUCGAACAGGUCGCACGGCAAAGGGCAAUAGAGGAAAGAAGGGCAAGAGAGGCAAAAGAAAGAGAAGAGAAAGAGAGAGGGAGAAGAGAAAGCAAAAGAGAAGAGAAAGACCCAAAGGAGAGAAGAGAGAGAGGAAGAAAGGAAAGAGCUGAAAGGAAGAAACAAAACCUGCAUGGGAAGGUGAAAUUUAUGUUGCCAAUAAGGAAAGAAAAGGAGGAGACCGUUGCAGAGAGGGAAGAAAGAAGAGCUAAGGAAAGGUGUGAAAGACUAAAGAUUGCAGAGGCGGCAAAGAAGAAGCAAGAAGAAGAAGAAGAGAUAGAGAGGAUGCGGAUGGAGAUCCAUUUUGUUGAUUAAUAUACUGCCUGUGUUUUUCCAGUUGAUCUCAAGUUCAAAAAAAAGUUCUCAUUGUCUCAAAUGACACGUCUCGUGUCUUAACUCAGUUACAGUGCAACUGCAGCAACUGUGCAACUGUGCAACUGUGCAACUGCAGCAACAGCAGUUCCAAAUUCAACAACAACAGAUGCAACAACAACAAGACGUGCUGACGGCCCUAGCGAAUAGACUUCUUGUUGCGCCAGCCGCCGCCGUGCCCGUUGUCGCCGCCCCAGCCCCGGCCGCGAUCAUCCGGACCACGCUUGACUCCGACAUUAGAUACGCAGGAUCAGAUAAUGAAUCGUUUUAAGAAUGGUUACAGCUGAUUAAUCGUAAAGCCUUAGCAGAAGGUUGGCAAGACGCAGAUAAAAGGAGAGCAGCCAUAAGCUCUUUAUUCGGCAAAGCUCUCACCUGGCACGAGGAGAUUGGCAUAAAUCUACCUCAGUGGGACGAUUGGAUAGAGAGCUUGCGCGGAACCUUCGAAAUCCAGUUAACCGAAAGCCAAUGGCAAAAACUGGUAGAAGAGAAAAACAACUGCCGAAUGAAACCGGUUCCGCAUAUGUUCUUGACAAAGUCAAACUAUGCCGACGAAGGGCCAUUCCUAUUAAUGAUGCGGAACUGACCCCUUAUCUCAUUCACGGAUUAUAUCGUCCAGAAAUACGCUCGGUCAUGAUGGGAAACCCGGACGACCAACCCGUCCGACCCACGCCACGACCCGAGGGAACCGUAACCCGAGCCGGAAGACGAACAUACCCACCUGCUUGGCAACUACAAGAUCUAAAUUAAUUUCUAAAAGUAUUUAUUGCAUUUAAGGGCCUUAAUUUAUGAAAUGUAUGUACAAUUAAAUUGAUCCGUCAAGGCAGGAGCCUUGAAAUUGUCAGGAUGGUCGAGUGUUAUAAUAUGUCCUUUAUAUACUGUAUGUAAUUGUUAUUUCGACCGCUAGAAUGCGCCCAUAUACUCAGCGCCGAAAUUAUUCCGAUUAAGCCACGCCCCCUAUUGUAUCCCUAUAAAUAGCGCCCUCACUCAUUUUUCGCGCCAGUUGCCGCUGGAGAGUCGUUAGAGUAAGGGCUACGGUCGGUAGGAUCUCGGUUUUCUGCGACAAAGUGUUGUAUUUGUGUGCGGCAAUACAAAUUCGUUUAAUUUGUCGGAGUGUUUUGUGUCGUGCUUCACAACAAUUUUUUUUUUUUGUACUCAAGUAAAAUUGAUUAAAUUUGUGACGGUGGAUGGAUAGUUAAGCUUGGGCAAUAUCACUAUUGUUACACAUUAUCCAAAAUUCUUUGGGAAACCAUGUUGAACAGUGUAAUUAAAGGCGAUUUAUGUGCUUUUUUAUAGAUUUCAUUGUACCAAUGGGAUCUACUUUUUUGUCAGUCUGUUUGGGGUGGCAAUUGGCUCAUGGUUCAAUUUUGGGAUUAAACCAAAUUCUUAGGUGGCACUGAAAGAUGUUUUAUUUAUUACAAAUCUUGCUGAAAUUUGCCAUGAGAUGCAUUCUCUGCCUAAGUUAUGAUUUCCCAAGGAUUAAACUAGCAAUGAUUACAGAGUGGGGAAAUGUUAUUUUGGGUGUUAUUUUGUUGGCAAGUUUUAGUUAUUGAAGAAAAUUUAUUGGUUUGUAUAUGAAAAAAGUUAUCUGCGUCAUGCAAAGUAUUGUUUUGGAACUGAACAUGUUUUUUUUUUUCUUCUAGGAUUUAACAUGUUGCAGACGGAACAGCCAUGAAGAUGAACGAAAUCUAUAUGCCCGUUUGAGAGGACUAUUGAGUUGGAUAUAAAAGUAGUUAGAUAAGGUGAUAUUUUAUCAUUUAUAAACAGCUGUGUCAACAAUCAGGACCGUGUGACUUAAACUAACCGUGUAAGACUAAAACUCCUGGUUCAGUUAUUUGGACACUUUACAGAUGGAAGAUUGAUAUGCCUCUAAAAAAAGAAGCUACCCAAGAAUCUAAACAUUAUUGGAUGUAUUAAGUCUGACAAUAGUUGGACAACCUCAAUAGCUGGCAAAUCUACCUUUUUCAGUGUGCUAACAAAAAGUGCAGCACCUGCAGAGAAUUUCCCACUUUAUUGCACCAUUGAUCUGAAUGAAAAUAAGUGUUCUUUUAGUGUUUAUAAACAAAACUUUUGGUUACUGUCACAUUAAAUUUCCGGUCUAGUGUUCAAAUAACGUAGCAGUUCCUGAUGAAAGGUUUGAUUGGUUGCUUCAGCAUUAUAAACCCUCAAAGUAAAGUUUGAAGAAUCAUAUUCAUCCAUUGUAUUCUUAAUUGUUUUUCACUUCAACACAGUCCCAAAUUCACUAUUUACUGGAUCAGAAGCUCAUACAGCUGGCAGCAACAGAAAUUAUGUUCAUAAUAAAAGCAGUCUUUCUUAA
rnacentral:lncRNA from 1 species